rnacentral:lncRNA from 10 species
GAGCUGGGGCGCUGGGGCGCACGGGCCCGGGGGACCAGGGUCUGGCUCUCUCCCGAGGAAUGCUGAGCAGGCUCUGGACGCCUCUCCGUGCACACCCCAGACCUGGGGAGGGGAGCUCUCCGGACACCCCAGCUGGCCGCCCCUCGGGCCCUGAGUCCGAAGACCCGCUAAACAGGGCCCGGGCACUGAAGUACCCUAUUGUUCUCAUCCCCUCUCCCGGGACCCCGCACCCUCCUCCAUCUAGGCUGAGGUUCCCAGAUUUGUGUCUUGGCCCCUGGCGGCGCCGAGAUUACUUUGUGAUUGGAAGACUGAAAGGAACAGGCAAGACUUAAACUCGUCCACUCCAACCAGUAUUUACCGAGGCCUCACGGUGGGUCAGGUGGUAUACGGUGGGUAAUUAGUAGCCUAUCACGUGGUUUCUGUAAAAUGCUUGAUAGCACGUAAAACGCUUUCAGGUCGGCGUCUCGUUUCAUCCUCACAACAGCCAGGUAAGGAAGAUAACCCCCUGAUAAUAACUCACAGCCAGACGGCUCUUUCUACAUUACAAAGUAUUUUCACAUGCAACCUCCAUAAUAAUAUAUUCUUAUUGAGAAUUUAAUGAGAUUAUGCUUGUAAAGCGUUUGGUCCUCACGUGUUAGAUCUAAAAAUUACGUAACCAUGGGAAGAUAUAGGAAAAUUAUCCCCAUUUACAGAUGGGGCUUCUGGGGCACAAAGAUGUUAAGGGGAGAGGAACGAUUCCAUAGCGUUUUACAACAAGAUUGUCUUUUAAGCAGUAGGAGAAGGGGGUCCACACCAUCCAGACGUUCACAAUCUGAUGUGGCAGACUGAUUUAGGCUGCAUUUCUCAGCCUAAACUAAAAAUUAUCAGCCUAUAUGAUAUACGCAUAAUUAGAAGGCUCUAAGAGAAGUUGAACUUUCAGCAAAUAACUGGAAAGAAAGAAAUUGGCCUGAUUUGGCAGGGACGGGGGUUGGCGAAAGGGGGCUAGGGCAAUGGGGAAUGUGGAGUGGAUGAAUCCCUCAUAGCGCUGUAAUAAACAUGCCUGCACCUCCGCAGGGAUGGUAAAAUUGGAUGGAGUUUCUAUUCUAUGGGGAAUUCUAGAAACAAAUGUGAUUAUUUCUUACGGCUGUAGCUACUGGCUGUUGUACACCCCCCCCCCUUCCAACUCCUAUCUUUC